rnacentral:rRNA from 1 species
AUUGAACGCUGGCGGCAGGCCUAACACAUGCAAGUCGAGCGGAUGACGGGAGCUUGCUCCUUGAUUCAGCGGCGGACGGGUGAGUAAUGCAUAGGAAUCUGCCUGGGAGAGGGGGACAACGUUUCGAAAGGAACGCUAAUACCGCAUACGUCCUACGGGAGAAAGCAGGGGACAGUCGGGCCUUGCGCUAUCAGAUGAGCCUAGGUCGGAUUAGUUACUUGUUGGGGUAAUGGUUCACCAAGGCGACUGUCCGUAACAGGUCUGAGAGGAGGAUCAGUCACACCGGAACUGAGACACGGUCCAGACUCCUACGGGAGGCAGCAGUGGGGAAUAUUGGACAAUGGGCGAAAGCCUGAUCCAGCCAUGCCGCGUGUGUGAAGAAGGUCUUCGGAUUGUAAAGCACUUUAAGUUGGGAGGAAGGGCAGUAAGCUAAUACCUUGCUGUUUUGACGUUACCGACAGAAUAAGCACCGGCUAACUCUGUGCCAGCCGCCGCGGUAA